GAUCGUGCCUAUGGCUAGUGACUUUUUUUCCUCCAGGGCCGAACACAGAGUGAGCGACUGGUAGAUGCCAGGCGCGGAGGACUAUUGCCAGGACUGUGCUUGUGACUUUUGUGCAUACGCGGCACCAUGAGAUGAUGAUGCAGGUACGAUCGUGCCUAUGGCUAGUGAAUUUUUCUCCUCCGGGGCCUAGCACGAAGUGAGUGACUGGUGGAUGCCGGACGUAAAGGAGUAUGGCCAGGACUGUGCUUGUGACUUUUGUGCAUAUGAGGCACCAUGAGGUGUACAGCGUAUUUUUGAUUAUUUUGUUACAGGUCUAUGGAUAUUAUGUUUAUAAAUUUGAUAUGUGUAAGUCUUGAAGGAUUGUAAACAGAAUAACUCAGUUAUUGAUGCCAUUUUAUUAUUA